GACGCUGGCGGCAUGCCUAAUACAUGCAAGUCGAACGAGACCUUCGGGUCUAGUGGCGCACGGGUGCGUAACGCGUGGGAAUCUGCCCUUGGGUUCGGAAUAACAUCGGGAAACUGAUGCUAAUACCGGAUGAUGACGUAAGUCCAAAGAUUUAUCGCCCAGGGAUGAGCCCGCGUAGGAUUAGCUAGUUGGUGAGGUAAAGGCUCACCAAGGCGACGAUCCUUAGCUGGUCUGAGAGGAUGAUCAGCCACACUGGGACUGAGACACGGCCCAGACUCCUACGGGAGGCAGCAGUAGGGAAUAUUGGACAAUGGGGGCAACCCUGAUCCAGCAAUGCCGCGUGAGUGAUGAAGGCCUUAGGGUUGUAAAGCUCUUUUACCCGGGAUGAUAAUGACAGUACCGGGAGAAUAAGCCCCGGUAACUCCGUGCCAGCAGCCGCGGUAAUACGGAGGGGGCUAGCGUUUUCCNAAUUCUGGGCGNAAGCCCCU
rnacentral:rRNA from 1 species